GAGGGGAGAGAGGCAGCUGCUGGCAUAGAGUGAUCACCAGAGGGACAUCCCCAAGGCGACAUACUGGCCACACUUGAGCUGUGGUCCAGUGGAGACUGCAGCCUGGAUUCCUUACCUCUGAGAAUCCCAAGCUGGGUGGUCCUGUCUCCACCAUGGGCUCCAGACUCCUCUGCUGUGUGGUCCUCUGCCUCCUGGGAGCAGGCACCUUGGACACAGCUGUUUUCCAGACUCCAAAGUAUCUCAUCAUACAGACAAGAAAUAAGAGGUCCCUAAAAUGUGAGCAAAAGCUGAGCCAUAACUGUAUGUACUGGUAUAAGCAAGGCUUCAAACAAUUGCUUGAGAUUAUGUUUAUCUACAAUAACAAGGAACUCAUUCUAAAUGAAACAGUUCCACAUCGCUUCUUACCUGAAUCUCCUGACAAAGCUCAUUUAUAUCUUCACAUUGACUCCCUGGAGCCAGGUGACUCUGCCGUGUAUUUCUGUGCCAGCAGUUAAGACACAGCCCUGCAGAGUCACCAGCUCCCUGUGCAAAAACCCUGGUCUAGGCAGGAAGCUGUGGGACAAGAUGUUUGUGCAACUCAAGGCUCCAUUAACACCGUGAACCUCAGUCUGCAGUACAGCUGGCCAGUACACCCCAUGAAGCAGGACUGCCUUUAUACACACAGAGGUCUUACAGAAU